UAAAACCAGCUCCCCGAGUGGUGGGGACGAUUAUUGGGCUUAAAGCGUCCGUAGCUCGCCUAGAAAGUCCCCCGUUAAAUCCAACGGCCCAACCGUUGGCCCGCGGGAGAUACUACUAGGCUAGGGAGCGGGAGAGGCCGACGGUAUUCCCGGAGUAGGGGCGAAAUCCUAUAAUCCCGGGAGGACCACCAGUGGCGAAGGCGGUCGGCUAGAACGCGUCCGACGGUGAGGGACGAAAGCUGGGGGAGCGAACCGGAUUAGAUACCCGGGUAGUCCCAGCUGUAAACGAUGCGGGCUAGGUGUUGGAGCGGCCACGAGCCGCUUCGGUGCCGAAGGGAAACCGUUAAGCCCGCCGCCUGGGAAGUACGGUCGCAAGGCUG
rnacentral:rRNA from 1 species